UACAUGUGGGGCAAGCGUUGUUCGGAAUUACUGGGCAUAAAGGGUGCGUAGGUGACUUGGUAAGUCAGUGGUGAAAUCGUCCGGCCCAACCGGACACGUGCCAAUGAUACUGCCGAGCUCGAGUGCGUGAGGGGUGGGGGGAACGAGCAGUGUAGCGGUGAAAUGCGUAGAUAUUGCUCGGAAGGCCAAAGCCGAAGGGACCCCACUGGUACGUAACUGACACUGAGGCACGAAAGCGUGGGGAGCAAACAGG
rnacentral:rRNA from 1 species